AGCUCUGUAAGCGUAUACCAAAGUUGUUGCAGUUAAAACGCUCGUAGUCGAAACUUGGUGGUUCCGGGUUUGUGCGCGUCGUGCGCGCAUUCCGCAGGGGCCGCUUUCGCGGAUUUGUUCCGGGUGAGGCACUUUAUUGUUGAACGCCUGGGGCUGCCGCUCUUUACUGUGAGAAAAUCAGGGUGCUCAAAGCAGGCAAUUGCCGUGAAUGUAUUAGCAUGGAAUAAUGGAAUAGGACUUGGUCUUGUUUCGUUGGUUUGUUGAGGCUAAGUAAUGAUUAAGAGGGACAGUUGGGGGCAUUUGUAUUCCGGCGCUAGAGGUGAAAUUCUUAGAUUGCCGGAAGACACACUGCUGCGAAAGCGUCUGCCAAGGAUGUUUUCA
rnacentral:rRNA from 1 species